AUUGAACGCUGGCGGCAGGCUUAACACAUGCAAGUCGAGCGAGCGGCGGACGGGUGAGUAAUGUCUGGGAAUCUGCCUGAUGGAGGGGGAUAACUACUGGAAACGGUCGCUAAUACCGCAUACCAUCAGAUGUGCCCAGAUGGGAUUAGCUAGUAGGUGGGGUAAUGGCUCACCUAGGCGACGAUCCCUAGCUGGUCUGAGAGGAUGACCAGCCACACCGGGACUGAGACACGGUCCAGACUCCUACGGGAGGCAGCAGUGGGGAAUAUUGCGCAAUGGGCGCAAGCCUGAUGCAGCCAUGCCGCGUGUGUGAAGAAGGCCUUCGGGUUGUAAAGCACUUUCAGCGAGGAGGCGUUACUCGCAGAAGAAGCACCGGCUAACUCCGUGCCAGCAGCCGCGGUAAUUC
rnacentral:rRNA from 1 species